UCUAUGGUCUUGUCUUGUAUGUGUCCAUGUAGAUAUAACCAAUUGUGCGCACACAAAUAUGUUGAAAAAUAAUAUCAGGCAAAACCACUGACUGCGCAUAUUGUAAUUUAUUUUAUUUGUGAGAUCAGUCAGUAUUAGUGAGUAUGUGCAACUCAAAGAGCGAAGUACGUACACUAGAAUCGCAUUGCAUAUAGAUUUCGUUCUAUUGUGUUCCUGUUCAGAUCGUGUUGGAUCGUGUGUGUAUCAUCAUUAACGAAGUGAGUGUAUCGUUGAUAGCUUUGUACAAAACACAUUUUCAAAAUCAUUACAUUAAUCGGUAUAGAUAAUUGUAAAGUUGCACUAUGGAUAAGGAGACCGAAGAAAAUCGAAGAGAUAAUAAUUUAGAUGAAGAAAAACAAAAUAUUUCCUCUGAAUCAUCAGAAAUAGAGGAUUCUGAAAUGGAAAGAUUACGUAGAUAUUUAAUUCAGAAGUUAAGACUUGUUGAUUUGUCAACGGGUAAUCAAAAUGAUCUGCCGCAACAAAAAAUUCUUUGUGAACUUAGCUUAGAUGGAAUUGUCGAGUAUAUUAAAGAAAAGCCAGAUUGCAAAAUCAUAACUAUGGCAGGUGCUGGAAUCUCUACCUCUGCUGGAAUACCAGAUUUUCGAUCUCCAUCUAGUGGACUUUAUCAUAAAUUAGACAAAUAUAAUUUACCUUAUCCACAGGCUAUUUUUGAGUUAGAUUUUUUUAUGAAAAAUCCAGAACCAUUCUUCACACUUGCAAAAGAAUUGUUGCCAGAAGGAUUUCAACCUACAACAAGUCAUUACUUUAUCCGUCUGCUGUGGGAAAAAGGUCUACUACUACGACAUUAUACACAGAAUAUUGAUACACUGGAACGUAUAGCUGGAUUACCUUCUGAGAAAUUAGUAGAAGCUCAUGGAACAUUUCAUACUGGUCGUUGUUUGAAAUGCCGAGCUCCAUAUAUGCUUUCAUGGAUGAAAGAAAAAAUCCUAGAAGAUAUAAUACCUAAAUGUGAAGAAUGUAAUGAAGGUGUUGUAAAACCUGAUAUAGUUUUUUUUGGUGAAAUGUUACCUGAACGUUUUCAAGUACUUGCUGAUCGAGAUUUUGUACAAGCUGAUCUUUUAAUUAUUAUGGGAUCAAGUUUGGUAGUACAACCUUUUGCAUCAUUAAUAGACAGAGUACGAACUACUUGUCCACGUCUGCUGAUCAACAAUGAAAAAGUAGGUAUGCAAGAUCGUUUAUCGCGUUUCUUAGGACUACGACAAGGUUUAAUGUUUGAUACACAAGGAGGACGCGAUGUAGCUUGGCUCGGUGAUUGCGACACAGGCUGUCAACUAUUAGCGGAUAAACUUGGCUGGAGGGAUGAAUUGCGAACUCUUAUACAAAAAGAACAUGAUAAUUUGGAUAUAAAAAAACGAAAUGACAAUUAAUUAGUAAUGGUUGAAUAUUACUAAUAAUUGGAAAAGUCUCUAAAAAGAAAAAAAAGUUAUUUUAUUGACACAUUUUAUUUUAUUUUAAGAAUAUACUACGAAAUUUUAAUUAAGGAAUUACCAAUAACUCACCCUUUCCUAAUCACACCAUUAUUUGAUUUCUGAAUUGUGUAAGAAAUUCAAAUGUAAAAACACACAUGGGUUUUGCGGUAAAAUCAUGGAACAUGGAAAAUAAGAACAUAGAAGAAUAUAUUCUUAUAGAUAAUCUAAAUGUUUUAUUUAUAUUUCUGAAAAGAUCUAUUAUUAAAUAAAAAUAAAAUAAUAUGGUGAUAGUCCAUAUAAUUAUUA